GAUCUCUGGGGUGGAGUGAUGUCAAAGAUGUUCUGGAGUUCGGCUUCCGCAUCUUGGGCUUCGGUAUGGACCAUCUCGACCAUUGCACUUCAGCCUUCCAGCAUUUGGGCUACGUCACAGUUUUUGCUUUUGGAUGUUGAGUGUUCACCAUUCCUAGGGGCUUCGGCAAUCAUGCCACGUGGUUCGCACUGGGUGGGUCGAUCAUGUGUGUCAACACGUAAUAAAAUACCGUCACGUAUAUCACUCGUUCAUCUUUAUACUCAUCAAUCAUUUUCAUUUAAUUCAAAAUCACCAAAAUAACAAAUCAAGAUUAUAGUCAUAUCU
rnacentral:lncRNA from 1 species